CCCCAGUAUAUAAGUCACCACCACCACCUCCUCCAGUGUACAAGUCUCCGCCACCUCCAGUCUACAAGUAUAAGUCACCACCACCUCCUUCCCCAAUUUACAAGUCACCACCACCACCUCCUCCAGUAUACAAAUCACCUCCACCACCUCCUCCAGUUUACAAAUCUCCACCACCACCAAUUUAUAAAUACAAGUCUCCUCCACUACCUCCUCCAGUGUACAAGUCAUCACCACCACCUGCUUACAAGUCUCCACCUCCUCCAGUUUACAGUUCCCCACCACCACCAAUCUACAAGUCUCCACCUCCACCCUACCAUUACUACUACAAUUCUCCUCCUCCUCCUCGUCACUACUAAGCAAUUGUAUCCAAGUUUUUGAGGUAAUAACGUUUAACCAAUAAAUUAACUUUCGCAUGAUAAACCUUAUCUCUAUCUAGACAAACUGCCAUGUGUAUAAUGCCAAAUACGUACACCUAGAUCCAUGAAAAUGAGUGGUAGAAAGUUUUCUUAAGAACCAAGGAACAGCAUUAGUAUUCCCUCUGCUUCCAAACACUUGUGUAUUAAAUAGAUUAAUGAAUUGUUUAACAUGCUCAUCUACUUGAAAAUGCACAAUACCCAUAACCCACUGAAAUUUUUGCAGGAAAAGGGAAAGAGAAUCUGUGUUUGAGAGCUUCAUGAAGAUGUUGAAGAAUAAGAAUAAAAGCCCAAUGCGAGGAUGUUUUCAAGUUUUUCUAUGUUUCCACUUUAAUUUGUAAAUUGAAUUUUGCGACUCAAUUAAUUCCCUGUUUGUGGGGUACGUAUUGUUUUACGUACCAUGCCGUACAUGUUUGUAAGGAUUUCUAUCCUAUUGGCAAAAGUCGGUUCCGUACAAUUAAUCAAUUCAUUUCACUUCUAUUGGCUCUACUAUUUAUGCAUGUUACGACAUUUUUUCUCUCUUUCCCUUAUAUUUUGCCUUUAAUAUUAUUGAGUCAAUAUUAAUAAUGGGCCUUUUUCUUAAAAUUAUACUAUUAUACAUAGGUAGUUUGGUCUAACGCUAAAUUCAUGUUUGUCUUUCUUUUAUUCCCUUUACAUCUCAAAGUAUACUAUAGUUUGUAAUCAUUGUGGUGAUGAUAUUACCAGCUGGUACUUAUAGUUUAAGGCAGAGACAUGAUAUUAACAACUAUCUCAUUGAAACAUAAGGAAAAAUCAUGACAAGUGUGAGUCUUGGUUAAUGCACAAUUUGUUAGUGGAAUUUAUAUUUAUAAAACUCAAAAAAAAUUUUUGACAAUGCUAUUACUAAUUAAUUAAGGACUUUAUUGCUAUAACUUAUCGCUUACUAGUUUAAACUAUAAAUGAUCUCAAUACUUUUCUCCAUGAUGUCGAUUUCUUUAGACUACGAAAGGGAAAAAUUAGUGACAUAUCCUCUACUGAUUACAACAUCAGCAAAAAUUAGUUAUAAACUUUUCCGGUGGUUUUAAAUCCCUCGGGCCCUAAGAUUUUUUGCUCAUCGAGUGAAUUAAGGAACAUAGGCAAUUCGUUCUACAUACCAAGUCCUUGUUUAAGAUGCAAGUACUAAAAUGCAUCCACUUCAUUAAUUUGGGAAAUUGCCAUAGUUUUUUUUAAGCAUUUUGAUUUUUUACAUGAUUCAAAAUUUUCUGAUUGGAUACAAUCACUUUGUAUCAAGAACACAUUUUCAAUCACCUUUUUUUAUCUUCUCAAUAAGAAAAUAAAAAUUUAUUCAUGCUUUUCUAACAUAUUCAAUCAUUGAUCUGAAAAUUAAAACAUUAAAAAAAAAGGACAUUUUCAAUCACUGCUUACAGGGCAACUUCCCCAUGUGAACCUCUUCAAACAAAGCCAAUAAUAUGAAGGAAUAUCUAAAUAUACUUUUGCCCUAAAGGCUGGUUGCCUUGGGGUCAAAAUUUAACCUUCCGGAGUAUAAUUACCCUGCCAAAUUUAUUUUUUUUUUAUGGGUAUAUAGUUCCAAUUUUGCCUCCUGUUAAGCUUAUAAAUAUAUUAUCACCCAGAAAAUAAAGGAAUCUUGAAUACUAACAUGUCCAUUGACUUGAGUUGUCAUCAAUUUGGCUACUUCGAUUCCAUGAGGCCAAUCCAAUUCACACUAGCUAGAGAAAAUGGUGACAAAGGCACUUAGAAAAUUAUAUGUAAUAUUGAUUGGUAGUAACCAGCUUGUAUUGAUUGGUAGUAACCAGCUUGUGCUCUUAUGAAAAAAAAAUUAGCAAAAUUUAUGAGAACAAUUAAAUUUAUUCGUACAAAUCAGUCAAAGAAGUAGUAUUUUAAAGACCGUGAUGAAAUUAAUACUUUCAAGGUUUCUAUUAGGAAGACUUCCUUUGUUGGUGAAACUACACUAGGCAGAGUUAUAUGGUAUCAAAAAAUAGUUGUAUUCACGUCUGUUCUUUUUUUCUUCCUUAAGUUUUUUUCUUUAUUCUCGUGACUUCAAAAAUACGAACUCAAGAAAUUGGCUGCUCAAUCAGUAUGUCAUACAGGCUUCGCUAGUGAGGUAUAACUUCACAACUAGAGCCAAUAGAAAUCGUCAAAUGAUUUUUUGACAUCCAAAUUAAGCAAUAAAUUUUGUUUUCAUUUCAUAACAUAUAAUAGUACUACUUCAUGGGAGAUUUUAUAGUUUCUUUAGGGUAUCAUACCUACAAGUGAUAUUUGUCAUUGGAUAGUGAAAGAAGUGUUAAUGACUGUAAGAUUAAAUAUUGUUAAAUAUUGAAAAUUUAAACUAUUUAUCUUUAUUGAGAGAUACAACUUAAAGAAUCCUACCCAAAAGAGACUAUAGAAUUUUCUCUGUUUUUCAUCAUCUGUAGACAUAAAUUUUGCCUAUACAAUGUGAUAGCAUUUUUUCAAAAAGACAAGAUGGAAAAUUGCCCCCCUUGAACGGAAAAUUGCCCCCUUGUCAAUUCUUUAAAAAAGAAUACUCGCUCCUGAACAUAGCCUGUUCAUCUACACUGUCCCGCAGAAUUCUAGAAAGUUAGGCAAAACUAGACUAGUUGACAGGUAUAAUCAUACCCAACAUCAGGAACAAGCAGUUGCACAUUUCAAAAUUCGCUGCUGCAACAACUAAUUUGAUGACUUACAACACUACACGGUCAAACUUUGAAUGGCAAUGGAUCUUUUGAUGUAAUUUUCAUGUUACAUACAUUAAUAGAUUGAUAUCUAUAUUCUUUAAAUUAUCGUAAUAAUACUCUUAAUUACAUUUAAUUGAUAAAAAGAACACGUGUCAACACACAAAAAUGUGUAAUGUGAAUGUUACAUUAGUGUAUAGCAGAAGACCUAUAGUCUCUUCACAUCUCUUCCUGCACGUAUCAAUUCGUUUCCUCUAGAUAAUAAUCUCCCAACUCAUUUCUUUACAAAUGCACCUUUUAUGUUUUAUUACCUCCAAAAGCCUUUACAGGGUCUUUACCCUAAAAAUCAAUUCACCGACUCGCAUUUGAUAUCAGAAAUUCUUAUUACGAAUUCUACUUUACUCAAAGAUUGACUGUUAAUAAUGAGACAACGACCAUUUUGUAUUAUUACACCGUCCUUCUUGAUAGGCAAAAGAAAUAGAGAGGAAAGCGGGUCCGUAUAUGGUCUUUUAUUCAUAGAUAAUACAACAUUACGCCAUCGAGCAUUCACACAAUAUUUCAAAGUCAUUGCAUGCCUAAGACCCUGUUUGAUAAUCCAAUUCCAUACUUAAAUUUAAUGGAUUUAAAUCUUAACACAUUCAAAUCGUUUGAUAACAAAAAAUUGAACAUUUAAAUUAAUUAAGUAACACUGGAUUUCCAAGACAAAACUUGCUCCCAAAAUUAAGUGAUAAGUGAAUAACUUAUCACUGAAUGUAUGUAUUAGAUUUAAUACUUAAUAAUUUAAUAAUUUAAUGAAUUCAGAUUUCAGAUUUCAGAUUUCAGAUUUCAGUUUUCAGUUUUAUCACACACACCCUAAGUUACAAAUUAAUACCAAAACUUGUUAUUAUAUAGCUUGAGAUUCAAAAAUUUAGAGCAUAAUUCUCAACCUAACACAAUUGAAUAAUGAAUAUUCACGAUUGUCAAAACUAUCAAAGUACAAUUUGAGGACAACCCAUUCCAACGCGUACACGAUUUUUAACUUUUCUAAAGUUGUUGAGAGCUGUUGAAAGAGAUUUACCAUGUUUACAUCUUCCAAGUCUUGGGAGUAAAAAAUGAAGCCACUGAGUGCUAUAAAAAGGGGGCUAGAGGCUGCCUAGAAGCAUAUCAGCCUAAAACAAGAAUUUGUAGUAACAAUGGGGAGCAAAGCAAAAGCAACGGAGUCUAGGCUGACUCCUCUUCUUACCACUGUUUUAGUGGUAUUUGUUGCCCUUGGCUUGCCCUUGGAAACUGCAGCUGAUUAUUACAAGUAUUCAUCUCCUCCUCCUCCUCCUUACCACUAUUCCUCACCACCACCUCCUGAGUAUUCACCUCCACCAACCCCUGUUUAUAAGUUACCCCCACCAUCUCCUCCAGUUUACAAGUCCUCACCGCCACCUUACCACUACUCACCACCUCCGGUGUAUUCACCUCCACCAUCACCAGUUUACAAGUCACCGCCACCACCCCCUCCAGUAUACAACUCCCCGCCUCCACCAGUGUACAAAUACAAGUCCCCACCGCCACCUCCUCCAGUUUACAAAUCUCCACCGCCACCAAUUUACAAGUACAAGUCACCCCCACCACCUCCUCCGGUAUACAAGUCUCCUCCGCCACCUGUUUACGAGUACAAGUCUCCUCCACCACCUCCUCCAGUGUACAAGUCUCCACCACCUCCAGUUUACAAGUACAACUCACCACCACCUCCUCCCCCAGUUUACCAAUCUCCACCACCACCAGUUUACAAAUACAACUCACCACCACCUCCUCCCCCAGUUUACCAGUCUCCACCUCCACCCUAUCAUCACUACUACGGUUCUCCUCCUCCUCACCACUACUAAGCAAGUGCAUCUAAGUUUUGAGGUAAUAAUACCUAUCCAAAACUUUAUCAACACAAACUGCCAUGUAUAUCAUGCUAAGGACGUACACUUGAUCCAUGAAAAUGACUUGUAGAAGAUUUUUUUUAAGAACCAAAGAAAUACAUUAUUUUUUCGGUCUGUUUUCAAGAAUUUGAGCAGUAUACAGAUUAAAGAGUGUUUUUUUUUUUAAACUUGCUUAUCAACUUAGAAAUGCACAUAGCUGAAAGCCAACUGAAUAUUUGCAGGCAAAGGAGAAGACAAUCGGUGUUUGCGACCUUCAAGAAGAUGUAGAAGAAUAAGAAUAAAAGCCCAAUGCGAGGAUGAUUCCAAGUUUCUACGUUACCAUUUCUACAUCUAAAUUGACUCUAGCUCCUGAGUUCCAUGUUUAUGGGGUUUGUACCGUUUUACGUACCAUGCAGUGCAUGCUUGUAAGGUUUUCUGUCCUGUUGGCAAACUGCAGGUCCAUAUAAUAAAAGAAUACUAUUUAUAUUACGACACUUUUCUCUCUUUCUCUUAUAUUUUGUCUUUAAUAUUGUUGAUCAUUUUUUUUUAUUUAUCAAAAGUAUCAAAUGUUUAGGUAAUUUGGUCUAAUGCUAAUUGUUUUACUUCUCUUUUUCACCUACACCCCUUUUCAACUCAAAGGAUGCUAUAGUUUGUGAUAAUUGUUUAAGACCGAAGCAUGAUACUAAUAAAUAUCUCAUUGAAAGUCAAGGAAACUAACAUUAUGAAAAGUGUAAAUCUUGAUUUGAUGAAACUAUUUAUUCGUGGAAUUUAGAGAUACAAAACUCAAAUUGUGACGGUGCUGUUGCUAAAUUAUUAAGGACAUUAUCACCACUAUUUUUCCCUUACUAGUUUCAACUGCAAUGAUCUCAAUCUUUUUGUGACUAAUUCUUUUCUUAAUAAUUUAUAAAUACAAAACUCACAAAGAAUAUGUGACUAAUUCUUUCCUUUCGUCUUCUAAAGAAAAUGGCAACUGUUAGUUUAUCAAGGGAAAAAGGAUCGACAUCAGUUGUUAUUGAAACUAGUAAGGAAAAAAUAAUGGUGAUAAUGUCCUUAAUAAUUUAACAACAGCACCAUCAGAAUUUGAGCUUUGUAUCUAUAAAUUCCACGAAUAAAUAGUUUCAUCAAAUCAAGAUUUACACUUUUCAUAAUGUUAAGUUUCCUUGACUUUCAAUGAGAUAUUUAUUAGUAUCAUGCUUCGGUCUUAAACAAUGAUCACAAACUAUAGCAUCCUUUGAGUUGAAAAGCGAAGUAGGUGAAAAAGAGAAGUAAAAAAUACAAUUAGCAUUCCCUCAAAUCGUAGAAAGUUAGGUAGCAUUAUAGACAAGUUGAUAGCCGUAAUGAUACUAAAAAUCAGGCAAAAGCCAGCAAUUUUACAUUUCAAAAUUCACCUAUCCAAUAACUAAUUCGAUGGCUUGCUACAUGGUCAAUCUUUGGACCCCUUCCUGCCACCACAUAUCCCUUUCCUCAAUCAGGGGCUUCUACAAUUACCAGUUCCAAUUGUAUGGUAUAGUGUAAAUAUCAACAAAUCAGAUGUAGACGCUAAUUUAAUAAAUGUGGAUGCUAAGACAACAACAUACAAAAACAUAAUAAAUUUUGGCAUUCCUUAAAAAAAUUAAGUCCCCAAAUCAAUCUCAUACACCCAAUUUCUAAUUUAAUUUAACCCAUUCCCUCUAUUAACUACACCAUACAAUACAAUCGAACCCAUUCCCUUCUAAUUUCUUCACAAAAUGCACCUUUCAUCACCGACAUGAUCUUUACCCUAGAAGACUAUUCACCGACUCUCCAUUGACGUCAGAAAAUCUAAGAGUAAUUCUACUUUACCCUAAGAUUGAUAUCAACGAGACAAUAAUGACAAUUUAGAAUUAUUACACGCCUCUUCUUAAUAGGAAAAAGAAAUACAGAAGAAAGUCAGGCCAGGUCUAAUUCUUUUUCAAAGGCAAUACAAUAUUACGAAAUCAAGCAGUCAUUCAUACAAAUAUUUCAUAGUCACCGGCCGGGGUUUGCUGAGUAGAAAAGUUUAUACAAAAACUUAAUAUUAUAUUGUUUAAGAGUUAACAAUUUAGAGCUUAAUCUCCUUGUACUUUGGACUAAACUCGAACGUGAAAGGAAAUCCCAAAACCAUAUUGGGCAUGAAUUCACACUUAAUAGACCCAAAAGAAGAUGGCGACUGGUGAAAGGCAGUGGAGACUGGUGGAGAGAUUUGAGGAAUAGAAGCAGACGGAAAAGCAACAAAUUUUUGCCGAAAAACGGUCACUUUCAUGGUUAAUUUUGCUACUCUCUAAUUGUACUUGACCAAAUACAACAAUUUCAUGGAGUUUGAUACACAAGCCCAAAUACACGAGAGUGUGUAACCUGAAUUGUUACUUAUACAUUAGUGUGUAAUAGAACGGCAAGCAUUAUGGUGGUCAUUGAGCAACUUAUAGAAGAAAUAGUCCUAUAAGCUGUUCGAUGACCAAUCGCAACUUGCUAAUUGGAUGACUAAUAUAGCUCUAGCUGUAAUGUUUUAAUUAAAUUCCAUCACUAACGUUGGGAUGACUUUUUAACCAAAAAAAAAAAAAAAGCCUUAGUUCAAGCUUUUCCCCUUAUUGUGCAUUUUUUAAAACAUUUGAUAGGCACUGCAAAUCUGUCAUUUUGGACAUCAACCCAUAUCCAACACAAGAUUAAAUUAAUAUUAGAAAAAAUUAUUACGUAAUUGGAAAAAAAAAAAGAAGAGACUAAUUUUCAUUGAAACCCACCGACAAACUAAGCGUGUCCAUAGCUUUUGAUUAGUUCAUUGCCGAUCACAUGGAGUAAAGAUUGUGCUCUUUCCCUUUCCCCCCCUUUUGGAAUCGAUACUGUGGAGAAUUGGCUUUUUCCCUCCUUUUUUUCUUUUCUUUUCUUUUCUUUCCUUCUGUACUUUGCAAAACAUAGGUAAAAAUAUGAAAUCCGAAGCAUUCUUUAAUUGGGAUUAAGUAUUGUUCUUGAAAUUAAAAAAAAAAAGAAAGAAAGAACAACAAAAAUCCCAAUCUGGGUUGAUUGUUGAGCUCUAGAUUGGCUGCAUCGUGCUUCCAUAGAAGUUCUCUUAGUGUGAUACGCUGCUUUCAAUCAGUUUUAACACGGGAAAAAGAAAAGACAUGAAAAGCAAAUUUUGUGGGGAUAAUUUCGGUAACCUCCCCUGAAGUUUUUGACUAUUUUACUGGCCUCCCUUCAGAUUUUAAAAAUUGCACUAAUCUUCCUUAAAGUUAAUUAUCUUGUAACAUUUAGAUCCAAUCAAUAAUUUAAAAAAUGAUAUUAUGAGAGAGAAAAUAAUAUGAUUUUAUCAUUGCCCCCAUCUUACUACAUUAUUUAAUUAAUUUAAUAGCAACCCACACAUUAAAGAAAAAUGCAAAAAUUUGUUGUUUAUCAUUAAAGAUCAUCAUAUCGCAUAUAACAUCAAAAAAUAGUAUAUUAUUUAUAUUUUUCACUUAAUAUAAUAUCCAAAUUACUCUUUUCAGUUACAUACCCAUUGUUAGACAAAAUCAACAACAAAUAACCAAAAAAUUUGCAACCAAAAUAUUACAAAAAAAUAAACUUUAACAUCAUAAAUAUUUUUAUCAACAUAUUAAAGUUAGUUAUUGAAAUUUUUAUGGUGUUAAACUUCACUCUUUGUAAUAUUUUGGUUACAGAUUUUUUUGAUUAUUUGUUGUUGAUCGUGUUUGACAAUGGAUUUGUAACUGAAAAGAACAAUUUGGAUCUUACAUUAAGUGAAAUAUAUAAAAAUAUUAUACUAUUUUUUAUGGCAUAUGUGAUUCUUUUUUUUUUUUUUUUUUUAUCAGAACGGCAACAUUGUAUUAAUAGUAAACCAAUUACAGUAUAGGUGGGCAACCGCCCUCACAAUCUGCCUGGACUUGUUCCAGCAGCCAAACUGGGAAGUUUUCCUUCCAUUCAGUAUUUUGUUCCAAAGUAAUAGCUACUUUAGCUAGUUUAUGGCUAACAAAGUUGUUCACCCUAUUUGCAAAGGUAAAACAACAUUCAUCAAAUUUUAUUCAUGUACAAUUGUUGCUAUCACCACGUCCUCCUCCUCCUCCUCACUGCACACUACUUGACUACCACCCUUCGCCAACCUUGCUGUUGCAUGUGCAACUAUCAUGGCCUCUCUUAGCGCCUUUGCUUCUUCGACCUUUGGACUGGCACAGCUAAAAUUUGGAACAGCCCAGGCCCACCCGCAAUCUUCCCAACCAAUCCCUGGCCACCCUUUUCCCACCCAGCUUCUAUGGCAUGUGUGAUUCAAUCCUUCUUGAUAGGAUUGGUAAUAGAGGCAGAGGGGGGAGCCGGCUGCAUCCGGUCUACUUUUCAUAGAUAGUACAAUAUUGCGAAAUCGAUCGCAUUCACACAAGAAUAUUUCGAAGUCAUUGCAUCGCUAAGUUGCAAAAAAGUACAAACACUUGUUAUUAUAUAGCUUAAGAUUCAAAACUUUAGAGCACAACCCUCCACCUAACACAAUUGAAUAAUGAAUAUUCACGAUUGUCAAAUCUGUCAAAGCACAGUUUGAGGACAACCCAUUCCAACCUGCAAAAGAUUUUUGACUUUUUUAAAGUUGUUGAGAGCUGUAAAAAGACUUACCAUGCUUACAUCUUCCGAGCCUUGGGAGUUAAAAAUGAAGGCACUGAGUGCUAUAAAAAGGGGGCUAGAGGCUGCCUAGAAGCAUAUCAGCCUAAAACAAGAAUUUGUAGUUAUGAUGGGAAGCAAAGCAAAAGCAAUGGGGUCUGGGCUGACUCCUCUUCUUACCACUGUUUUAGUGGUAUUUGUUGCUCUUGGCUUGCCCUCAGAAACUGCAGCUGAUGAUCACUACAAGUAUUCAUCUCCUCCUCCUCCUUACCACUAUCCCUCACCACCACCUCCAGUGCAUUUACCUCCACCAGUGUACAAAUACAAGUCCCCACCACCACCUCAUCAUGUUUACAAGUACAAAUCUCCACCACCCCCACCACCACACCCAGUUUACAAGUAUAAGUCGCCACCACCACCUCCUCAUCCGGUAUACAAGUACAAGUCUCCUCCGCCACCUCCUCAUCCGGUACCACACCCAGUUUACAAGUAUAAGUCACCACCACCACCUCCUCAUCCGGUACCACACCCAGUUUACAAGUAUAAGUCUCCUCCGCCACCAGUUUACAAAUAUAAGUCUCCUCCACCACCACCUCCAGUGUACAAAUACAAGUCUCCACCACCACCAGUUUACCACUACAAGUCUCCACCACCUCCUCCCCCAGUUUACAAAUACAAGUCUCCACCACCACCAGUUUACCACUACAAGUCUCCACCACCUCCUCCCCCAGUUUACAAAUACAAGUCUCCACCACCACCACCACCAGUUUACCACUACAAGUCACCACCACCUCCUCCCCCAGUUUACAAAUACAAGUCUCCACCACCUCCUCACCACUACUAAGCAAUUGCUUCUGAGGUAAUAACACUUGUUCAAUAUACACACUUCUGCAUGAUAAAACAUAUCUCUAUCAACACAAACUGUCAUGUCUAUCAUGCUAAGUGCCUUCACUUCAUCCACGAAAAUGACUGCUAGAAAAUUUUUUUUUAAGUUACCAAAGAAAAGCAUCAUUUUUUCCCUCUGUUAUCAAGAACUUGUACAGUAUGUAGAUUAAAGAGUUUUUAUUUUAACUAGCUUAUCAACUUAGAAAUGCAUAUAACUGAUAGCCAGCUGAAUAUUUGCAGGCAAAGGAGAAGGAAACCAGUGUUUGGACCUUCUUGAAGAUGUAGAAGCAUAAGAAUAAAAGCCCAAUGUGAAGAUGAUGAUUUCAAGUUUUUCUACGUUACCAUUUCUAUAUCUAAAUUCGUUGUAGCGCCUUAGUUCCUUUGUUUAUGGGAUUUGUAUCGUUUUACGUACCAUGCAGUACAUGUCAUGUUUGUAAGGUUUUCUAUCCUGCCGGCAAAUCGCAGGUUCCAUGUAAUAAAUCAAUACUAUUUAUAUUACGACACUUUUCUCUGUUUCUCUUAUAUUUGUUUGGAUUGAGCUUUAUUUCCCCAAAUUUAUUUGCUUACAUCAUCAUUACAAUUUCUAAUACACCUUUUUACCUUCCCGAUUACCUUUUUAUCUCACAUACAUCACAUCACAAAAAGUGCUACAGUAAAAAUAUCUCUAAUAAUUCACAAUCCAAACAGACUUUUGUCUUUAAUAUUCUUAAUCAUAUUUUUAACAAAAAUAUUCAAAUACUUAGGUAAUCUGGUCUAAUGCUAAUUGUAUGUUUUACUUUUCUUUUUCACCUGCUCCCCUUUUCAACUCAAACGGAUGCAAUAGUUUGUGAUCCCUGUUUAAGACGGAAGCAUGAUACUAAUGAAUAUAUCAUUGAAACUCAAGGAAACUAACAUUAUGAAAAGUGUAAAUCUUGAUUUGAUGCAACUAUUUAUUCGUGGAAUAUAUAGUUACAAAACUCAAAUUCUGACUGCGCCAUUGAUAAAUUAUUAAUGACGCUAUCAUCAUUAUUUAUCCCUAACUAGUUUCGACUACAACUGAACCCAAUAUUUUCCCCAUGAUAAAAGUUUUUGACUAUUUUACUGGCCUCUCUUCAAAUUUUAAAAAUUACACUAAUCUUCAUUGAGAUUAAUUAUCUUGUAACAUUUAGUUCCGAUCAAGAAUUUAAAAAUGAUAUUAUGAGAGAAAAAAUAAUAUAAUUUUAUCAUUGCCCCCCAUCUUGCUAUAUUAUUUAAUAAAUUUAAUAGCAACCCACACAUUAAAGAAAAAUACUAAAAUUUGCUACUUUUCAUUAAAGAUCAAAUUGCAUAUGCCAUAAAACAUAGUAUAUCAUUCUAUGUGUUUCACCUAAUGUAAGAUCCCAAUUGUUAUUUUCAAUUACAAACCCAUUGUCAAACAUGAUCAACAACAAAUAACCAAAAAAUUUGCAACCAAAAUAUUACAAAAAAAAAUAAACUUUAACAUCAUAAAUAUUCUUACCACCUCCAGUGCAUUCACCCUCACCAACCACUAGUUUACAAGUCACCCCCACCACCUUACCACUAUUCCUCACCGCCACCCACAGUGCAUUCACCUCCACCACCACCUGUUUAUAAGUCACCUCCACCACCUUAUCAUUAUUCGUCACCACCAUCUGCAUUGCUUUCACCUCCAUCAUCACCAGUUUACAAAUCACCACCACCAUCUUCCCCAGUGUACAAGUCCCCUCCACCACCAAUUUACAAGUCUCCGCCGCUAUGUCCCCCAGUAUAUAAGUCAUCCCCACCACCGCCUCCAAUGUACAAGUCUCCGCCGACACCAAUCUACAAGUACAAUUCACCACCACCCAUGCCUCCAGUUUACAACUCCUUGCCACCACCUAUUUACAAACACAAGUCUCCCCCACCACUUCCUCCGGUAUACAAGUCAUCUCCACUGCAUCCUCCAAUUUAUGAGUCUCCUCGUCCACCAGUUUACGAGCACAAGUCUCCUCCACCGCCUCCUCCAGUAUAUAAGUCACCACCACUAUCUCCUCCAGUACAUGUCUCCACCACCGCCUAUUUACAAAUCUCCGCCUCCUCCAGUUUACAAUUCCCCACCACCACCAAUAUACAAGUCUCCACCUUCAUCCAACCAUUACUACUAUAAUACUCCUCCUCCUCCUUCGCACUACUGAGGAAUUGCAUCCAAGUUUUGAGGUAAUAACGCGUAACCAGUAUAAACUUUUGUAUGAUAAACCUUAUCCCGAUCAACACAAACUGCCAUGUGUAUCAUGCUAAGUACGUACGCUUAGAUCCAUGAAAAUGACUAGUAGAAGGUUAUCCUAAGAACCAAGGAACAUUAGUUUUCCCUCUGUUUCCAAAAACUUGUGUUUGUUUAACAUGCUUAUCAACUUGGAAAUGCGCAUUGCUAAUAGCCAACUGAAAUUUUUGCAGGCAAAUUGGGAAGAGAAUCAGUGUUUGAGCGGUUCAUGGAAGAAUAAGAAUAAAAGCCCAAUGCGAGGAUGUUCUCAAGUUUAUUAAUGUUUCCGUUCUAUUUUGUAAAUUGAUUUUUGCGACUUAAUUAAUUCCCUGUUUGUGGGGUUCGUGUUGUUUUACCUACAUGCCAUACAUGUUUGUAAUGAUUUUUAUUGCAAAAUGCCGGUCCAAUAAAAUAACUGUAUUCAUUUUGUGUCUUUUGAGUAAACUUCUAUUGGUUCUACUACUUAUUUUACGAUAUUUUUUUUCUCUCUUUCUCUUACAUUUUCCGUUUAAUAUUAUUGAUAAUUUUUUUAACAAAAAAGGUUGAUAUACUUAGGUAGUUCACUAGUUUGGUCUAAUCCUAACUUCAGGCUUGUCUUGUCUUUUAUCUCUACAUACCUUUUCAACUCAAAGGAUGCUACUAUAAUUUGUGAUCAUUGUAGUGGUGAUAUUCCGAGCUAUUACAUAUAAUUUAAGGCAGAGAUUUGAUCCUAGCGAGUAUCUCACUGACAGAUUAGGAAACAUCAUGAAAAGCGUAUAUCUUGAAUUAGUGCAACUAUUUCUUAGGGGAAUUUAUAGUUACAAAAUUCCAAAUUUUGAGAUUCUAUUACUGAUUAAUUAAGGACGUUAUCACUAUUUUUUUUUAAUUAUCACCAUUAAAUACCCCACAUACUAUAAGUUUUUUUAGGGCACAGGAAAAGAGGUGGGCCGAUGUUUAGUUAUCUACAAAAGUUCAAAUUUUGUAGAUAAAUUAUCAUGCGCCCUUAAAGAGUGCAGAAUACCAAAAAAAAAAAAAAAAAAAAAUCAUAUACUAUAACUAAUCCUAAUAUUUUUCCCUACGAUAAACUAACUCUUAUCCAUUUCUUUAGAUGAUGAAAGGAAAUAGUUAGUCACAUAUCCUCUAGUGAUUACAACAGCAUCAAAACAAAUUAGCACUCUUUUCCCGUAGUUUAAAAAUCCCUCAGCCACUAAGAUUUUGCAUAUCGAACGAAUUAAGGAACAUAGGCGCUUCGUGCUGGACAACAGUGUCCUUGUUGACGAUGCAUCCGCAUAUACUUCCUUAAGCAUUUUGAUUAUUUUAUGAUUCGAAUUUUUCUUGUCUGACAGCUGGACUUAAUUGAAAAACUCAAGUAAUAAUAUUCCAAAGCUGAUUCGUCAAAGUUUACCCAAUUGGUGAAACUUUCUUAAUAGAGCUGACUUUGUAUUACGUGACAAUGAUAUGGAUGCUCAAAGUUUUCAAUGGGAAAUUUAUAUGAGCUUUUCACGACAAAAUGUGUUCCGAUAAAGGUUCAUUCCAGAGGUUAAAAUUUUGUUUGUUAAAAAUUUACUUCUCAAGUCUUUGAUGCGAAAGUCUUGGUAUUUCCAAAAAGUCUUGAAAUCGCAGCAUAUAAGCCACUUUCUGUUCUCUUUUUUUCAUUGAAGUCUUUCCAAAUGUCAGUUCCAAAAGGAGUUUUUUAUGAAUUAUGAUAGAUAAUUAAUCUGACGGUCCAUAUAUAUGUGAUUUGCAAGAGGGUGUUUGGCGAAAUGGUUAGGCUUUCUAAGUAAUGAUAGGAAUGCCAUUUGCAAAGAAGGACAGGGGGCCUGUGCUGUCAUAUUUUAUGCGAUUUGAUCCGUUGUUGUAUAAGUUUAAAUUUUUGACGUGCAAUUGUGCUACAAUAUUAUACUAAAUAUAUGUGUGAAAUAUUUUGUCUAUAUACAUCACUUUUAUCGUGAAUACAACAGCUGAGUAUAAUAAUAUAAUAUAAUGUAAUUAUACACCAAAUAAUGUAACAAAUAUAACAAUCGAUCUGAAUUACACGAAAUCAUAACAACAAGAUCACCGCCUCCCAAAUUUUACAAAAUAAGGUUUUUUUUUUCUUUUAGAUUAUUGAAAAUUUUCAAAAAUAUUCUACAUAAUUUAAAUUUUUGUCCUACAAAAAUUAAAAGAGAUUUUAUAUUGCACGCUUAAGCUUAGAUAUAUUAAAGUUUGCCCCCAAGAUUAAUUUUCCGUUUUUAUCUAUGGUUUCUCAUCUAUGAGCCGAUCCAUAUAGCUAGUUAGACUGUACUCCUCACAUUUGUGGGAUUUGACACCCAAGAUUCUCCUUCUUGGAAUGUAAAAUGUAGAUCUUCUAUGUUAAUAAUUCAGGACCCAACUGUCAUAAACGAAAUGACUGAUCAACUCCUGUAAAUCUAAUUUAACAACAUUUAAAUGGAGAACUUUAGCUAAAAGAAUUAUGGUUAUUUUCCAACAUAUGCAAUCAUUGAUCAGAAUAUAUAUAUAUAUAUGUAAAAGACAUCUUCAGUCAUUUCAUAGCUUACCAGGCAAAUUAACCCCUAAGUGAACCUCUUCGAACAGAACUGACAAUAUGGAUGAAGAUCUGGAUAUUCUUUUAUCCUGACUCCUAAGGGAAAACUGGUUGAUCUAGAAUCAAAAUUUUACCCUAGUUACCCAGGCAACUUUUUUGUUGCCUUUUUUUUUUUUGGUAUAAAGCUCCAAUUUUGCUCCCUCUGUUAAGCUUAUAAUGCAUAUAAUUAUUAAGAUAAUAAAAGUGCCUUGAAUAGUAUUAAUAUAUGCAUUGACUUGAGCUGUCAUCAGUUCGGCCACUUCGAUUCCAUGAGGCCUUUUCAAUUCACACUAGCUAGAAAAUGGGGAGUCGUGAAAACCUUUUGUUCUAUUCAUUGCUAAGAUGCUUUUCUCUAUAAAGAGACUUCCUAACGAAAAUACUUUGUAGAUUUCUUUACUCCAAGUGGUGCAUGAAAAAUUAAUAUUUUCAAUUAACAAAUAAAAUUCCCUUUUUUUGGUGUAGAUUUCAUCCAUCCAGCUGUUAACACAUUCUAUAAAUCCGAAUUGACUAAUCUUUUCAUUUCCAUUUUCCAACUUGCGAAUACGGCAUCUUAUAUAAUGUCUGCUAAACACUAUAUAUUCUCUGCCAAAUAUGAAUACAUAUCACUUUUCUGAGCAAGUGCAGAGUCAUUAUCAUUUUUAUUCCCACAUAACAAAUUAGUGGUUGAGCAUCUUUACAUGCUAUCAGGUCACAAGUUAAUAAUCUUUUAAAGAACAUGUUAAAUUAAUUUAUUGGUAUGAAUAGUCAAAGAAGUAUGUUAAAGUUAGCAAUCUUUAAAAUAAUAUGUUAAAAUCAUUAGUACAAAUUAGUCAGAGAAGUAGCAUAAACACCACGAUGCAAUUAAUACUUUCAAUCUCAAGGUCUCUCUUACGGAAAUUUGCAUCGGUCAACAUACACAAAGCAUAAUUGUAUGCACGUCUCUCUAUCAUGGAAUUUGCAUAGGUCAAUAUACACUUGGCAUAGUUGAUAGUUGUAUGCGCGUAGGCAUGGCCAUGGUUCCAUUUGGAACUGGGAAUCAGACCGAAACCGGAUCGUUUGGAACCAGAUCAGAACCGGAAUCAAAACCAUGAAACCAGAACCGUGAUAGAACCUUGGAUAAAGGUUCCGGUUCUGGUUCUCUAAAAAAUAGAACCAGAACCAGAACCGUUAAAAAUAAUUAAUAUAAGUGGUGAGAUAAUUCAAAAAAAAUUAGUUGUGUUUAAUAGGUUUUAAGAAAGUUUAAAUUUUAUGGACUUUCUAUAUAUUUUAUUAAUUAUUUAAUUCUUUCUAUUCAUCUAAUAUUUAUCAUUAUAAUUUGCAAGUAUUAAAUUAUUACUUAAAAUUUUUUUUUUUUUUUGCUUAUUUGCUAUCAAAUGACAAGUUUUGAUGGUAGUAGCUCAUCUUCAAAAUCAAGCAAGCAAAAAAAUAUUUUUUGCAAUAUUUCUUCAAAUGGAAUCUUCAACAUUGAUGAUUGUCCAACUCAAGAAAGUCAACAUAUGACAACCAUUUGAUAGUGUAAUGUAUUUUUUAAUUUGACAAUGUAAUGUACUUUUCAUAAAAUUUAUAUUAUCUAUUUAUUACUUCUUACUUUGUAGAAUAAUAAUAAAAUUAAAAUAUGAUCUUUAUUUUGUAUUUAUUUUUUUACGUUUUAUUUGAAAUUUUAAAUAUAUUGUUAUAUUCGUAUUAAAAUUGGUAAGGAUAAGGAAUUAAAUAAAAUUGUAUAUAACCAUACAGAACCGGAAACCGGAACCAGAACUAUAAGGAACCAAAAUCAGAACUAUGCGGUUCUGGUUCUACCUCUUUGAAGAACCAGAACCAGAACCAUUUUAUAUGGUGCGGUUCUGGUUCUACCUUUUUUAAGAACCAGAACCGGCGGUUCUAGAACCGUGGUCAUGCCUAUAUGCACGUCUUUUAUUUUAUUUUAUUUUAUUUUUUGGUACUGUUCUUCCUUGCUUUAUAGUAUGCACGUUUAUUUCUUUGGAUUGCUUAAGAUUAUAUUGUUAAUAAUAGGGCAUUUAACCAUAAAUUAUAAUAAUUAUGAAGUAAUAUAUAUUAGAAAAUUAACACAAUUAUGAUUUUUUUUUUUUGUAAAUUCAAAUUUUAUUAAUAAGAAAUGAAAUAGACCGUAAGCAAAAACAAAAUCCUACAACAACUCUAGGACUCUACACCUUAUAUAAAAAAAAACUAGGACUCUAUACCUCAGAGAAGCUAAACAAUCCAACAAAUAAAAUGCAAAAUAAAUCACAAUAACGCAAAUUAUGUUAAGCUAAUAAAUACUACCAUGCAACAAAAUUUUUGUCUUUGUCCCGCGUGAAACUACGAAGUCAAGAAUUGACUCCUUUAACCAGUAUUGCCAGCGGGGCUCCGUCAGCAAGAUACAACUUUGCAAUUUUAUACAAUAGAAAUCCUCAAAUAGCUAUUUUGACAGGCAAAUUAAGCAUUAAUUUUGGUAUCCCUUCAUAAAAUACAAGAGUACUUUUGAUUAUAUCUAUAGAUCAACUUUCUAGGCUUGAUGUAUUAUAAGAAAAAUCUGCCUAAACAUUUUGAUAGCAUUUUUCCAAAAGCAGAAGAUGGAAAAUUGCCCAUUUGUAAUGGGGAGUUCGUGAUCUUUUCCUCAUUCUAGUCUACUUACAAUUCUUGGAAAAAGGAAUACUCACAUCUCAAACAACAGCCAGCUCAUCUGCGCUGUCCUGCAGAAUUCUAGAAAGUUAGGUGGCAAUGUUAAUAACAUUUCAAAAUUGACUGCUGCGAUAACUAAUUCGAUGGCUUACUACAUGGUCAACGUUUGGAUCCCUUCCUGCCGGCACUGUCCUUUUUGGAUGCACAUUUUUUUUCUCUAGGUAAUAUAAUCACCCAACUCAUUUCUUUACAAAUGCACCUUUAAUCACCACCAAAAGGUGUGGACAUGAUCUUUACCCUAGAAAACUAUUCACCGACAGGCAAAUUGACGUCAGAAAUACUAAGAGGAAUUCUAGUUUCCUUCGGGUUAAUGCCAUUUUGUACCCUUCAACUGUAACUCGAUUUCUAAGCUGUAAUUUGUGACAUUAUAGUCCUUAAACUAUGAAACCCUUCUUACUUAAGUAUAAUGGUUAAUACAAUACUGGUGAUUAGACAAGUAUGAAGCAACCAUAACAAAAAAAAAUCCAAAAUUAGAGAAAAGAAAGAUGUUUCGCGACCAAAGUAUGUAUCAAGGCAUAGUAUAGAAAUAAAAGUGUCAAAAUUAAGAGUUUAGGGAUAAAAAAGAAUCAAGAUAUAGUUUAGGGAUUGAUUUGUCUCAAUUAGAGCUUAGGUGUCAACUAAGAAGAGAGAUAUAGUUGAAGGGUAGAAUAUAGAUAUAAAGGUUCAAUGAUUGAUAUCAGUGAGACAAUGAUAACUUUGGAUUAUUACCAACCUCUUCUGGAUGGGAAAAGGAAAUAGAGAAGAAAGUCGGGCCUGGUCUAAGCCUGUUUCGGAGGCAAAACAACAUUAUGAAAUCACCGGCAUUCAGACAAAUAUGUCAAAGUCACCGGCAUGCUAAGUUGCAAAAUUUAUACAAACACUUAAUAUUAUAUUGUUCUUAAAAUUUUUGUUUAAGAUUUAACAAUUAGAGCACGGUACACGAAUUAGAAAUAUUAAAUAAUGAAUGUUCACGAUUGAUAAAGUUAUCAAAGUACAGUUUGAGGACAACCCAUUCCAACGUGUACAAGAUGUUUAGCCUUUGAAAAGUUAAUUAGAGAAGGUGACGAGAUUUUACGAGGCUGACAUCAUCUAGGCCUCGAGAGUAAAAAAUGAAGACACUGAGCGCUAUAAAAAGAGGGCUAGAUGUUGCCUAGAAGCAUAUCAGCCUCAGACCACGUUUUGUAGCAAUGGGGAGCAAAGCAAAAGCAAUGGGGUCUAGGCUGACUCCUCUUCUUACCACCGUUUUAGUGGUAUUUCUUGCUCUUGGCUUGCCUUCAGAAACUGCAGCUGAUUACUACAAGUAUUCAUCUCCUCCUCCUCCUUACCAUUAUUCCUCACCACCACCUCCUAUGCAUUCACCCCCACCACCGCCAGUUUAUAAGUCACCCCCACCACCUUACCACUACUCCUCACCGCCACCUCCAGUGUAUUCAUUUCCACCACCUUUGCCAAUAUACAAGUCUCCGCCACCACCUUACCAUUAUUCCUCACCACCACCCCCAGUGCAUUCACCCCCACCACCACCAGUUUACAAGUCUCCCCCACCACCUUACCAGUAUUCCUCACCACCACCUCCGGUGCAUUCACCACCACCUCCUCCAGUUUACAAGUCCCCGCCACCACCUUACCAUUAUUCCUCACCACCACUUCCAGUGCAUUCACCUCCACCAUCACCGAUUUACAAGUCUCCACCACCACCUUACCAAUAUUCCUCACCACCACCUCCACUGCAUUCACCUCCACCACCACCGAUUUACAAGUCACCUCUACCGCCUCUUCCAGUUUACAAGUCUCCGCCACCACCUUACCACUAUUCCUCACCACCACCUCCGGUGCAUUCACCUCCACCACCACCGGUUUACAAGUCACCUCCACCACCUCCUCCAGUUUACAAGUCCCCGCCACCACCUUACCAUUAUUCCUCACCACCACCUCCGGUGCAUUCACCUCCACCACCACCGGUUUACAAGUCACCUCCACCACCACCUCCAGUUUACAAGUCCCCGCCACCACCUUACCAUUAUUCCUCACCACCAACUCCAGUGCAUUCACCCCCAUCACCACCAGUUUACAAGUCUCCGCCACCACCUUACCAUUAUUCCUCACCACCAUCUCCGGUAAAUUCACCUCCACCACCACCGGUUUACAAGUCACCUCCACCACCUCUUCCAAUUUACAAGUCCCCGCCACCACCUUACCACUAUUCCUCACCACCACCUCCAGUGCAUUCACCCCUACCACCACCUGAUAGGGUAUAAUUUGUUAGUAUUUUUAUUAUUAAUUUUCCCUUCUAUCCCUGACAAAUAUUGUGUUAAUUGCUGAUAUUUACUCAUAUUUGGUAUUUGGAAUCAAUUUCAGGAAUGAAGCAGAAAACUACCAAAAAGGAGGGACUUUGUGAAAAAUAUGGAGACUUCUAAGGGCUUCAAUCCUUGGGCCCUUGAAUUGGUGGGGGACCACAAGCUAGUGAAAGGCAUUUGGUCAUUUGGGCUUCAAAGAAAGCAACGUAGAGAGACUUGGAACAAGAAGUACUUGGGAGGCUUUGUCCACAUGUGUGGGGACCACCUAGAUAGCUUUUAGUCAUCUUUCUUUUGUUGCUUUAAAAGGGGACAACGUACAGAAGCAAAAGAUAUCUAGGGCUUUAGUUUUAGUUUUUAGUUUAGUUCUAGUUUUCUUUCUUUGGACUGGCCUCUGACACACGCCAGGUAUUCGACAAUAUUCCCCAACGGGGAGAUUUUCUCAUGAGGCGUGGUUAAGCUUUUCAAGGGGACACUGACGAUUUGGUUCAAUUUACUGUGAGAUCGAAUCUGUUUUAUUUUUUUCUUCAUUUUGGUUUUUAUAUGUUCCUUGAUUUUAAUUGCUAUGGCCUUGUGUAUGAUUGAUUAGUGCACAAUAAUUAAUUAUUCAUAUAGGCUAUUUUUGCUAAAUAGGGGUAAUUGAAUCCGUAAUUGUUCGUUAUCUCUACCUCAGUAGCAACUGGCGUAAUUGGGUUUAUGUCAGGGGAGCAUAUGAUCUAAUUUAAACAAACCCUCGUAGCGUAUUUGUUGGUUAGGAUUGGGCCUUUCUAAUUAUUAUGCAAUCUAGAAAUUAAAUCCUACGGUCGUACCUAGGGUUAUUUUUGGGUUAGAGAAAUAGCUAACGGUCGUACCUUAGCUAUCGAGAAAUUAAGGAAGGGUUGGUUGUUUAUCGCGUGCAUGACAACUAUAACUAAUCUAUUGCUAAAUGUUGGAAUUAUUUCUGCAUCAAUGAUCAGUGCCUGAACCAUUUCUGAAGUGUACCCUUGGCUAGAGUUUCUCUUAAUUAUUUCUUUUAAUCAAUUAUUUUCUGCACUUGAUUUAUUUAGUUAGCAUUUAAUCCAAGAACCUCCCAUACUCUGGACUCUAGAAGAAACGAAUUAUCCCCAAUCCCUGUGGAUUCGACCCUGCUCGCCGCUAUAUACAAAAUCUGUAUUUUUCUUGAGUAGGUAAUUAUUAUUGCACAGGUUCGGCACCUGUCACCACCAGUUUACAAGUCUCCGCCACCACCUUACCAUUAUUCCCCACUACCACCUCAAACGCAUUCACUCCCACCACCAGUUUACAAGUCACCGCCACCACGUUCUCCAGUAUACAAAUCACCUCCACCACCUCCUCUAGUUUACAAAUCUCCACCACCAUCAAUUGAUAAAUACAAGUCUCCUCCAGUGUACAAGUCAUCUCCACCACCUGCUUACAAGUCUCCACCUCCUUCAGUUUACAGUUCCCCACCACCACCAAUCUACAAGUCUCCACCUCCACCCUACCAUUACUACUACAAUUCUCCUUCUCCUCCUCCUCCUUCUCACUACUAAGCAGUUGUAUCCAAGUUUUUGAGGUAAUAACGCUUAACCAAUAAAUUAACUUUCGCAUGAUAAACCUUAUCCCUAUCAAGACAAACUGCCAUGUGUAUCAUGGCAAAUCCGUACACUUAGAUCCAUGAAAAUGAGUGGUAGAAGGUUUUCUUAAGAACCAAGGAACAGCAAUAGUAUUCCCACUGCUUCCAAAAACUUGUGUAUUAAAUAGAUUAACGAAUUGUUUAACAUGCUUAUCUACUUGAAAAUGCACAAUACCCAUAACCCAUUGAAAUUUUUGCAGGAAAAGGGGAAGAGAAUCUGUGUUUGAGAGCUUCAUGAAGAUGUUGAAGAAUAAGAAUAAAAGCCCAAUGCGAGGAUGUUUUCAAGUUUUUCUAUGUUUCCACUUUAAUUUGUAAAUUGAAUUUUGCGACUCAAUUAAUUCCCUGUUUGUGGGGUACAUAUUGUUUUACGUACCAUGCCGUACAUGUUUGUAAGGAUUUCUAUCCUAUUGGCAAAAGUCGGUUCCAUACAAUUAAUCAAUUCAUUUCACUUCUAUUGGCUCUACUAUUUAUGCAUGUUACGACAUUUUUUCUCUCUUUCCCUUAUAUUUUGCCUUUAAUAUUAUUGAGUCAAUAGUAAAAUUAUACUAUUAUAAAUAGGUAGUUUGGUCUAACGCUAAAUUCAUGUUUGUCUUUCUUUUAUUCCCUUUACAUCUCAAAGUAUACCAUAGUUUGUGAUCAUUGUGGUGAUGAUACACUACAACAAAAAUGGCCUUUCCUGACAUGUCUAUAAGGACACUUGCUGGUUUUUGUCAUUAUAGCACUUCUAUCAUGACAUUUGUUAUCAAUUCACUAAUUUAUACUUUUUUUUAUUUUAUCUGAUAUAAAAAUAAUAAUGUGUCUUUAGAUUUCCUAUCAUGGCAUUUUAGAAAAUGUGAGAUACAACGAAAAAAUUAAAACAUAAAACGAUGUCGUUUGAUUUUGACGGAAGAUUCAUUUGCCAAAACACUUAGUGAAAUCUCAAAACUUUCAUUGUGUCGAUUCUUCUCCUCUCUCUCACAAACCCUCUCUCUCGGCAGACUAUCUCUCAAAACUCCCCCAUUUUGGUUCUUUUGUCUUCCGCCUUCGCCGCCGCCCCACUCCUCCAUUUUCGGUUGCUAACUUGGCCGCUUCUCUGCCCUAUUCGGUCAACCACGACACCUACACCAAUAAGUCUUCGCUCUCUUUGCUAGGACAAAAGGAAUAAAAAAACAGAUACUCAUGUUCUUUCCUUUUUCUUCUUUCCUCUGAAACCGAUCCCCAUGCUUCUCCGUACUGACUAGAUAUUCAGGUUGAGCGUGUUGAGGAGUAGAGUAGGCGAAGGUUGCCGCCAUCGUCUCAUUGAAGUCCAGCCACUACAGCGGAAAUCAUCACUGUAAAGUUUCCCGUACUCUUAUACCUUUUUUCCCCCUUAAUUGUAUUGUUUUCUUCUUUGUCUGCAAUCAUGUCGGUUAUGCUUUACUUUCGUCUUGUUAAUCGAUUUUAAGUGGCUGGAAUUGAUCAUAGGUUUGAGUAGAGUUUUAGAUUUAAAAUUCAAGCUCAGGCCGUAUAAGGAACUGAUGAAAAAGAAAUUUCAAAACUUUUCAUCCUCACUACUUGUUUGUCGGAAGGUUCGAAUGAAGAAAGAAGGAAAUUUGCAAUGGAAGUGAACAGAGAGAGAUGAAAGUGAUUGGAGAGUGAAAUUUUGCCUUGGUGAACUUUUCUUUUGUUUUUGAUCAUCAAGUGCAAUAGAAAAGUACAUUUAGUACAAUUUCCUAACUAUCUUAGAGGAAAUCUUGUUUGGAACUUUCGCUGGAUGCUAUGCAACUUAUUUUUGAUGCUUUGGUCAUGAUUGUUGUUCUGUUUGCUACAGCCCCAUAAGAAGGUUUUUUUUUAAUUAUUAUUAAAAAUUACCGCAUAGCUUGGAUACUUUUGCAUUCCAUGCACCAUGUCAGCUAUUCAUAGCACAUAGCACUAAAGUAGAGCACUCUGUAAUUUUGGAGAUGUUUCAUCUACGCAUUCAAUUAUUUCGAGUUUUUAGUCCAAUGGGUAAUAAAUUGGUUGUACAUCACUUAUUAUGUUGCAUCCCAGUUAUAUUGACCUAGAACAAUUACCAUAUAGACAAAAAGAAGAUAUUAACUGCAGCAAAUUGAAGAAUAAAAAGAGUAUUUGUCAAAUCUUUUCUCCCAACAUCCCUCGUAAUUCUUUCCCCCAACCUCAACUUAGGCACACAUUGUGUCUCUCCUUUUCUUCUUCAAACUAAAUGUUCUUCUCAUGGACAAAUAAGAAUAAUUUGAAUUUAUGAGGAUACAGAGGAAGAGAAUGAAGAUGGAGAAGUUAAUUGUUAUAACUCCAGUUAUGAUAAAGUUGAAGAUGACUUUACAUAAGAUGGAUUAAGUGACUAGUGCUCUAUUGUAAGAUGCUGGGUGCAUAUCUUAAUUUCUUUGAAUUGACUUUAUAUCUCAAAAAAAAAAAAAAUUGAAGGGAUUCUAUAUUUAUUUGACUUGUGUGGUAUUUAUUUGUGUGACUGUCUUGUUUUUUGUCUGCUUUUAUGAUCUAGAGCAUUGAUUACUCUAUAUUUUUAGACAAGAAUAUAUUGUUUUUGUUGUAGAAUUUCUGUAGAAAAAAUACAGAUCUUGCACAUUAAACCCAAUGGGGACUGUUUGCACUAUAAUGCAUUAUGGGCAACUAACAAAUUGGGAUUUGCUAGCCAUUCAAUAUUUUGUAAAUCCUCUGCAGUGUAACAUACUGGAAAUUGCCUUUCAGUUACAGUCUCCAGCGAAGUGUCCUGAUUUAGUCUUUCAAGUUGGAAUGUGACUAAUAGUUUCUUAUCUUUUAAAAGUUUGCCAAUUUCAGGAGGAUUGGUUACAUAGUUUUUUAAGAUUUCUUUCCUCCAGUGGGCACUUAAAAAAAUAGUGAUUAUUGAGUGCUUUGAUCUGUUGAAAUUUAAUUGAAAAUUUUCCGAUCAUUAAUUGACACACUUCAAAAUACUAAUGACUACAUAUGUCAAAGCACAACCUAGGAAAUUAUAUCAGCACGUGCUCCGAUUGUAUGGUACUAAACUUGCAGUGCUUCCACAAAGAAUGUGAAGAGCACAUAUAUACUGAUCAUUGAAAAGAUAGAUUUCUAUUAUGAUUCUGCUAAUGUUUGAAGCACUAAAUGUGAAAUUGCUAUCUAUUUUGAAUGAGUAUCUGUUUCUAUGAAAACUUUGGACAAAUAUGCAUAUGACAAUAGUUUCUAAUGAAGUUACAAACGAUGCUGAACCUUUGGCAUUAUACCAAGAAGGUGUUAAUCAAGUUAACUGGUUACACUUCUAAGCCCUUGCCUGUGGGCAGAAUCUGAGCUAGCUUUAUUCAUUUGUAGCAAGAAGUAAUUUUGCAUGCCAAUGCCAUGCAUUGUUGACUAACCUGUCGCAUUCAGUGUUUGGACAGGUGGGAGUAUAUUGGCGGCACUUGGUUCCUUUCAGCAAAUUUGGUUUUCAAAAUCUGAGUAAGCUUUUACAUCUACUCUACCUUUCAAUAUUCAACUUUUCUUCUUUUUUUCUCCCCAUUUUCAGUCUGUUUUAUCUCUCGAUUAAUAGGUUUGAGGAACAUGGAACUUCUUAUGUUCAAAGAAAAUGCCCGUAAAGUACUUUACUGGUGCGGACAAUUAUCACAUUAGACAGAAAUUCAUGGAGCUGACUUCACUUUGAUUAGUUCGCUGACGGUAUGGGUUGCUCGGUUUUAAUAUCCUGCUUUAUAGGAGCCCAAGCAAUGUACUAUAUAUAUACUAUACCUCUCGCGGAUCGUUGCUAAUGUUGUACAAUUACGUUACCUGACUUUUAGCAUUUCUUUCAACUGGUUAGGGAUGAGAGUCUUUUUGUUUGUGCACAAGAAAGUCUUUCAAGUUAUUGUAAAUGAGAAUCUUUCGGUAAUUUUUUGGGAUUUUAGUACUUGCUUUGAGCAUUUGUUUGCGAUUUUAGUACUUGCUAUGUUUGUACUUGUUAUUGACUUUUAAUUCAAUGAAUUAUAUUUGAGUAUCGACUUCUUCUUUUAAAUUGCUAUAUGCAUUCUGCCUUUUGGGAUAAUUUUACAAGUCCCUUGGGAUUCUGGUUGAUGGAAUGUACAGCAGGGAGGACUAAUUACAGGUUGCUUCCAUAUGAAAAAAAAACAGGAAAAAACUCCUGGCAAUUAGAAGUGUCAGCAUAGCUUAGCUUCAAAAAACACUAAUGACAAAUGGGCAUGUCAUCCAAAGCAGUGUAAAUUCACAUGGCUACGUGUCCUUAAAGCCAUAUAUUAAGACAAUUCAAGAUGCCUUCAUAAAUUGGAUAUACUACUAAUCCGCUACUGAUGUUCUAAUGCUAUACGGACACUUUCGAUUAUCACAAAAAAAAGUUUUUGUUGGCAGAGGGAAUGCUAUAGCAGCAUGGUUUUCCUGACACAUUUGAAUGUUGCCAAAGAUUUGAGGCUAUCCCCACAUUGGAAGGGACAACACUCGCCCUAGGUGUGAGGAUAGAUAAAAUGUCAGGUUAGAUUAUCUAUACUGACACCUUUAAAUGCCGCUAAAGGCCAUUUUUGUUAUAGUGAUAUUACCGGCUGGUACAUAUAGUUUAAGGCAAAGACAUGAUAUUAACCUAUCUCAUUGAAACAUAAGGAAAAAUCAUGACAAGUGUGAGUCUUGGAUAAUGCACAAUUUGUAAGUGGAAUUUAUACUUAUAAAACUCAAAAAAAAAAUUUCACAAUGCUAUUACUAAUUAAUUAAGGACUUUAUUGCUAUAAUUUAUCGCUUACUAGUUUAAACUGUAAAUGAUCUCAAUAUUUUUCUCCGUGAUGUCGAUUUCUUUAGACUACGAAAGGGAAAAAUUAGUGACGUAUCCCCUACUUAGUUAUAAACUUUUCCAGUGGUUUUAAAUCCCUCGGGCUAAGGACGUACACUUGAUCCAUGAAAAUGACUAGUAGAAGAUUUUUUUUAAGAAUCAAAGAAAUGCAUUAUUUUUUCGGUCUGUUUUCAAGAAUUUGAGCAGUAUACAGAUUAAAGAGUGUUUUUUUUUAAACUUGCUUAUCAACAUAGAAAUGCACAUAGCUGAAAGCCAACUGAAUAUUUGCAGGCAAAGGAGAAGGCAAUCGGUGUUUGAGACCGUCAAGAAGAUGUAGAAGAAUAAGAAUAAAAGCCCAAUGCGAGGAUGAUUCCAAGUUUCUACGUUACUAUUUCUACAUCUAAAUUGACUUUAGCUCCUGAGUUCCAUGUUUAUGGGGUUUGUACCGUUUUACGUACCAUGCAGUACAUGCUUGUAAGGUUUUCUGUCCUGUUGGCAAGCCGCAAGUCCAUAUAAUAAAUGAAUACUAUUUAUAUUACGACACUUUUCUCUCUUUCUCUUAUAUUUUGUCUUUAAUAUUGUUGAUCAUUUUUUUUAUCAAAAGUAUCAAAUGCUUAGGUAAUUUGGUCUAAUGCUAAUUGUUUUACUUUUAUUUUUCACCUACAUCCCUUUUCAACUCAAAGGAUGCUACAGUUUGUGAUCAUUGUUUAAGACCGAAGCAUGGUACUAAUAAAUAUCUCAUUGAAAGUCAAGGAAACUAACAUUAUGAAAAGUGUAAAUCUUGAUUUGAUGAAACUAUUUAUUCGUGGAAUUUAGAGAUACAAAACUCAAAUUGUGACGGUGUUGCUGCUAAAUUAUUAAGGACAUUAUCACCAUUAUUUUUCCCUCACUAGUUUCAUCUGCAAUGAUCUCAAUCUUUUUGUAUUGAUCGGUUGUAAUGAAUCGCGAUUGAUUGGUUGUAAUCCGCUUGUAUUGAUCCCACUAUUGUGGAUACUUCUACGCUCAACAAAAAAUAUAUAUAUUAAAGAAUUAGCAAUAUUUUUUAGAACAAGUUAAAUUUAUUCAUACAAAUUAGACAAAGAAGUAUUUUAAAGACCAUGAUGAAAUUAAUACUUCCAAGGUCUCUAUUAGGAAGACUUCCUUGCCUUGAGUUGCAGUUGCGUGCAGAUGUUUAUAUUUCAAAUUGAUGGUAUAGUAAAAAUGUUGAAUUUCUUUAUCCCCGUGACUUCAAAAAUAUGAACUCAAGAAAUUAACUUCUUAACCAGUAUGUCAUACAAGCUUCACAAGAAAUGUAUAACUUUGCAACUAGAGUCAAUAGAAAUCGUCACAUAAUUAUUAAUUUUACAUCGAAAUUAAGCCUGUAUGACAUACUGGUUCGAGGUUUGGCCACGCUACCUUCCUAUUGUUUAAAAAUUCUCACAUAAUCCCUUGUACUUUGGACUAAACUCGAAUGUGAAAAGAAACCAUCCAAGCUAGUUUGGGAUACACUUGUUGCACUUUGAACUAAACUUGAACGUGAAAGGAAAUCCCAAAACCAUAUUGGGCAUGAAUUCACACUUAAUAGACCCAAAAAAAGAUGGCGACUGGUGAUGGAGGUGAAAGGCAGUGGGGACUGGUGGAGAGAUUUGAGGAAUAGAAGCAGACGAAAAAGCAACAAAUUUUUGCCAAAAAACGGUGACUUUCAUGGUUAAUAUUGCUACUCUCUAAUUGUACUUGACCAAUACAACAGUGAAAUUGUAAUUUAUGCUGAAGAUGGAGUUUGAUACGUGAAGAGAAUUUUUUAUAAAUUUUAUUUUGACCCAUAAUGUUAUCUUUAGAUACAAAAAAUAUUUUAAAAUUUUGAUUUUGGCCCGGUUAACUUUUGGUAAACAAAAAAUGCUCAUGCUUAGUGACAGGUUGUCGAUGCCUGUGCAAAAAUAAAAAUAAAUCUAGUUGCCAAUUAAAAUAAUCAGAGCCCAAUUCUGAGUACUGGAGCAGGGACUCUAGGUGUGCAAUGGGUUACUUGAUUCACUCUAUUUCCGAAGAGUUUGCUUAACCCGAUAUACCAGAAUGGGAUUGCUUAUUCAAAAGGAAUUGUUGAUUUGUAAACAGGGCAAGUAGGGUCGUAUUCUCAGGUGGGCUGGCGGUGCGCGGUCAAUCGACGGAGAAAGAGAGGAAAGGACGCGGGUGGAGGUUUUUGGGUUUUGGCCAAGAGAAGAGGGAACGCAGGGAAAGAGAGAGAGAGGGGCGGUGCUCGGGAAGGUGAGCGGCGGACGACGGCUAGGAGGGAAAAGGAGGAGCGGCGUGCGAAGUUAGAGAGGAGGAGGGAGGCGGCAUACGAAGGAAAAAGAAAUCAAGGAAGAAGAAAGAAAGAAAAGAGGAAGAAAGAAAAGAAGAAGGAAAAAAAAUAGUUUUUGGGUUUUUUUUCAAUUUUUUUUUAUUUUUUUGAAUUUAAAUGUCAAAUUUUGAAUUUUUGAAAAAAAAAACUGAAGGUUAAAAAGGAAAAUAAUUUUAUUUUGCUAAAAAAAAAUUUUUAUUUUUUUAUUUUUUUUUGUUUUGGAUCGUCAAACACAGCGUGGGCACGCCAAAAUUAUAAAACGUCCACUGAUCUUGGGAGUCACUGACACGGCGUGGGCACGCCAAGAUUUCACUUCCUGCCAACGUCGCGAGAUGUUGAAAUUGUACUAACAUGGCGUGGGCACGCCAAGAUUGGUAAACAUCCACUGGCCUUGGGAGUCACUUUUUGAGUGUCCUCCUCGCGUGGGCAUGCCAAGAUUCUAUGUCCUGGUCACAUUGGAGAAAAAUAUGAAAAUUGACUAGUACCCAAAUGAAAAACGACAAAUCGAAAGAAUUGAACAACAAAAAAUAAUAAAGCUAAUAUUUGGGUUGCCUCCCAAAAAGCGCCUUUUUUAACGUUUUUUGUUAGACGUUGAACACCACUCUUCAAUUUGGAUGUAAUUCAAUUUUCCUUGUAAUCGGUGGUCCUACUCCGGGUUCCAAAUAAUCAUUGAGUGCAGCCUUCUUUCUUUAUUUUCUAUUCAUUUUCACCUCAUAAAUUGCUUUCAUUCCCUGAUAUUUGUUCGCAAGAAUUUUGAAUUUACCCCUACAACCAAACUCAAAAAAUUCUUGCACAAAGGAAUUAGUAGCAUGAAUAGCAAACACAGAAUGAGAGUUAACAGUAUGUUUUAUUGUAUUAAAAAUAUUAAAAUGGACUAUUUCUCCAUCGAAUUCCAUUGUGAGAGUACCCUUACUAACAUCAAUCUUAGUUUGGAUAGUACUCAAGAAUGGCCUUCCUAAUCUAAUGGAUGAUGGAUUUGGGACACUUUCAUCAUCCAUAUAAAGCACAUAAAAAUCAGCAGAAAAAAUUAAUCCAUCUACUUGCACUAAAACAUUCUCAACUACCCUAUCUGAAUAAGUAAAUAUACGAUUAGCCAAUUAAAUUAUUAUCCCUAUUUCUUUUAAAGAUCCUAAAUUUAGGGAAUCAUAAAUUGAUUUAGGCAUCACAUUAAUAGAAACUCCUAAAUCUAGCAUGGCAUUUUUUAGAUUAGAAUGUCCAAUCUUACAUGGGAUAGUAAACAUACCUAGAUUCCCGUAUUUAGGUGGUAGUUUCCUUUGUAAAAUUGCUGAAAUGUUCUCAUCUACCACAAUAUGCUUGUCCUCCCUCAAUUUCUUCUUGUUGACACACAAGUUUUUCAAGCAUUUAGCGUAUUUUGGCACUUAUUUGAUCGCGUCCAACAAAGGAAUAUUGAUUGCCACCUUGCGAAAAAUGACGGAAUUUUUAUAUCAAUGCAAGUUUAAAUUCGAUUUUAUACCCGUUGACUGCAAGUAUACAGGCCGAAAUUGUAAUGUAGGGUAUGUAUCGGGUCGAUCCCACGAGGAGCAAAUUAAACAAGUACUAAGCCCUUAUUUUUCUCUAUUAUUUAGACUCACAAUAAAUUUGAACAGAGAAAGUAUAUUGCUAAAAUUUACAAAUUUGAUAUACAAAUAUAAUUUAACAAAUGCUAAAUGCAAAAGAAGAAAUUUCACUCAAGGAAGAAUUUAGGGAUGUAGAUUCCACUUAUGGCAUAAACAACACAAAUGAAUGGAUUUACCUCUUAUUAUUAUUCUUGUUUAACUAGGGAUUCAUUUCCAAAAUUAUCAAGUCUCAUUUUCAUGAUGAAAUGGCCUAGACCAAUAUAGUUUUCCCUAUUUUCAUGGUGAAAUACUACUACUACUCUGUUUUAUUUCAUGAAAUGCUGAAUAAUCCACCUAAGUGUAUCUCUAUUUUCAUGAACAUACAACUUAAGCUCUACUCAUUUAUUUCCAUUGUUACUACCAAUUCUCAUUGAAUAAUAACAACUAUAAACAUACUAUUGGUGAUCAAUCAAUAACAAGUAAUCACAACUACACAAGUAAACAAGUUAAUACAAAAUAUAACAAGUGUAAAUCACAUUCAAGUCAUAUUAUUUAGCCAUAAGUUUCAUCUACUUCCUAGAUAAAGAAAAUUAGCUACUCAUGAAUGAUUUAACAAUCAAACUCACAAGUUUAUUAAUGCAAAAUAUCAUAAAGUACAAGUACAAGAAAGAUAAAAGAAAUCUUAGCCAAUUGAUGGUGAAUCCCUCCAAUUUCUGCUAUGUUCUUGUACAAGAUGAUUACAACUGAAAACUCCAAAUGCUUCUCUAAGGACUCCUAGCUAGAGAGAAAAUGUUACAAGAAGGAAAAACUAGCUACGUAUGGUCCUGUCCUGCUUCUCCCCUGUGUUUUUGCAUAAAAGGUAGUAGAAAGUCUAUUUUCCUCUUCAUAAUUUCCUCCAUUCAGAUUUUGUAAAAAGAAGUCAAAGAUAUGAUGUUUCCUUUUUUCUACAACUCAUUUGGUCUUCUCUUUUGUUGCAGAAGCAUGUGCCACCGAUUUCUAUCCCUCAAAAUAGUUGAAAAAAUUGUGAGAAAGGUAAAGAAAAACAGCUGUGUCACUUGCUGAGCAGAGAGACAAAUCCGAGCCUCGGAUCCGGGGGUGAAACUGGAUCCGAGGACUUCCCAAGGUGGAUCCGAGGUCGGAUCGUUCUGACCUUGGAUACACUCCUCCAAAAGUACAUACGAGGGCUCGGAUCCCUCUUGUUCACACGGAUCCGAGCUCGAAUCCGUGUUGAUUAAAUUUUCAGUUUUUCACUUCUUUCCUUUUUCUACAUUUUUGCUCCCAAUUUCUUUUGUACUUUGUCCUCUGGAUGAUCCUUGCAUUUCUUUCAACUUCGUGCACGAAUUUCAUACAUCAAUAACCUUCACAAUUUCACAAAAUUAACUCAUUAAUCCACUCAUUUAUCAAGUUUUGAACACUUAAACAAUAUUUUAAGUAAUUAUCACUAAAAGAGUUCAAAUAUGGCUUUAAUCUUCUCAAAACAUGCCAAAGAUUCAUGCCAAAUCUGUACAAAAUGUACGUUAAAUAUUCACUUAUCAAAAAACCUCUAAAAUCUCCUUUUCUUUAUCUUGCUUCUUUGAUUUCUCUAACCUGCUCGGAAAAGGCGGUAAGUUAGUUCCAACUCUAAUUAUAGAAUCAGGAAUUAUCUUUGGAUUCGCAUUUCUCAUUCCUUCCUCCUCAAGCUCUUUGUCAAUUCAAUCUUCAUUUUUAUCUUUCGGAAUCACAAGUUCGGAUCUCUGAAUUUUCUUCCCGUUCCUUAAGAUCAUUGCACUUACAUUUUUCAGGUUCAGUUCAGGUUGAGACGGUAAUUUUUCAUAAACUUGGGAUUCCAGGCGGUUGAUUGCUAUUGCCAUCUAACUCAUCUGAUUCUGCAUUACUUGCAUCUGUCCCAAUUGAUUUUUCAUACUUUGUAGGUCAGAAUCCAUUUUUUGUUGAUUAGCAAUUAAUUGCUUCAUCAUCUCUUCUAUAGACAGACUUGAGUUUGAAGGAGGUGGUGGCGGGCGAGACUGAUACUGUUAUUGAUACCCUUGCUGUCUAUUUGGUGUAAAAUCUGGCUGCCUAUUUCCUCCAUAGUUGAGGUUGGAAUGAUCUCUCCAACCAGGAUUGUAUGUAUUCGUGUACGGGUCGUAUGGCUUUCUUAGCACGGGCGCGUAACCAGCCAUGUUCACUUGCUCCGUACUUUUCUCUUGAAUCAUUGAGCACAUCUCUGUAGAAUGACCCAUAGCAGUGCAGAUCCCACACAAUUUGGCUCGUGAUGUAUUUCCUAUAGCUAAUUGCCUAACAAAGGAUGUUAAUUCGGUCAACUGCUAUUGGAUGGAAUAUGUCUCUACCUCAUUUACUUUGCGUGUCGGGACAUCUUCCCUCGUAUCAAACUGUUACGAAUUCUCCGUCAUUCCUUCAAUUAGCUCCUACGCUUCUCAAGAAAUUUUGUUCACCAAUGCCCCUUCACUUGCAGCAUCAAUUAUACUCCUGUCUCUAAAAAACAGCCCCUCGUAAAAAUAUUGGAUGAGCAAUUACUCACUUAUUUGGUGUUGAGGGAACUUGAUGCAUAACUUCUUGAAUCACUCCCAAUAAUCAUAAAGCGACUCUUCUAGAUACUGCUUGAUACCGCAUAUCUCCUUCCUUAGGCUUGCAGCUCGAGACGCAAGAAAAUAUUUGUUCAAAAACUUUUUCUUCAACUGAUCCCACGUGGUGAUGCUACUUGGUGGUAAGUAGUACAGUCAGUCUUUUGCGGAGUCCUUCAAGGAGAAGCAGAAUGCUCUCAUUUUUAUCUGUUCUUCUGUAAUUUCCGGAGGUUUCAUACUGUUGCAAACGACAUCAAACUCUUGCAAAUACUUAUACGGUUCCUCACCUGCUAAAUCAUAAAAAGAUGACAAGAGAUGAAUUAGACCAGAUUUUAACUCAAAUGGAGUGGUUAUCAUUUAAAUAUGGAAAAGUAAUACAUAAGGGCUGCUGUUUUAAAUCAGGAGCAGCAAACUCCCUUAGUAUCCGUGCAUUAGCCAUAGUGACUUCUUCUCGAUCCGAGUCACUAGAAGUAUCACUAUGUGAAUCUGUUAGUUCAACUUCUGGCUUAGGUCUUUGAGAUGAAGCACUGGAGUGCUCUUCUCUAAGUUGUCCGGUCUCUUUCCUUAUUUUAUGCGCAGUCUUCUCUACCUCGGGGUCAAAAAUUAAUUCACCUGUAUGAGAAGAAUGAGGCAUAUACUAGGAAAGCACUAGAAAAUUAGAACAAAAAUGAACCUAAAAAGAAACAAAUAAACCAACACCAGUCCCUGACAACGGCGCUAAAAAUUGACAGGUUAUCGAUGCCUGUGCAAUAAUAAAAAUAAACCUAGUUGCCAAUUAAAAUAAUCAGAGCCCAAUUCUGAGUACUGGAGCAGGGACUAUAGGUGUGUAAUGGGUUACUUGAUUCACCCUAUUCCCGAAGAGUUUGCUUAACCCGAUAUACCAGAAUGAGAUUGCUUAUUCAAAAUGAAUUGUUGAUUUGUAAACAGGGCAAGUAGGGUCGUAUCCUCAGGGAUUGGAAAAAAUUUGUUUCUUUUCAAAUCCACAGUAACAAGGAGGUGUUUUUGUAUAAACGAUAACAAUCUAAGGAGUGCAAAUAGAAAUAAAUAGAUAACUAGAAAUUAAAUGACAAUUCACUAAAAUUAGAAUAAUAAUAAUUAAAGGUCUAGCCAAGAAAUAAUUUCAGCAAUGGUUCACCUAAUUGAUCAUCGACGCAAAGGCAAUUCCAAUUAUUUACUAAUAAAUAGAUUAUAACUGUCAAACAAGUGAUGAUAGUCAACCCCUCCUUACUGUAUCAGUGAUUAAGGUAUGUCCGUUAAUCACUGCUAUAAUUGAGAAAUAAUCUUAGGUACGUCCGUAAGAUUUAAUUCCCCAAUUGCCUUACGUAUUAGAGGAGCCCUAUUCUAACCAAAUAACGCACUAUCAGGAUUAUUUUAAAUUAGCCCAUGUAUUCCCUUGAUACAAACCCAAUCAUGCCAGUUGUCACUAUUUCAAGGCAAUGAAACAAUUACGGAUUUAAUGCCCUAAUUGACUAUAGGUUACUAAAUCAAUUCACUAUCUCGAUCCAAGAUAAUCAAUCAAUUUAACAACUAAUAGCACUGCAAUCGGAGAAUAUGUAAAUACCAAUAAAUAAGAGGAAAAGAUAAAAUUAAAUCGAUCUCACAAUUUUUAGACAAACCAAAGCAUCAGUUAUUUCUUGACUAGAAAAGAAAAUUUAGUUCAUUCCUAAUGCGAAAGACCCACGCGAGAAUUCAAAAAUAAUAUUCACGGACAUCGUCUUGAUCCAGUAGAUUCAAUUGCGUUGGAAUAAGGAUAAAAAACCAAACUACAGAGAGUGAUUCAUUGUUUUGUUUCGUCUGCACUUUUUCUACACAUACGGAAGAAGAAAAACAACUAAAGGAUGAAAAAAGAAAAGUCAAAGAAAGCCACCCAAAGUAGUGCUUGGUCUCUACCAUCCUAUUUCCUAUCUAAUUACUACUUCCCUUCUGCGGCUGCCUAGAGGAAGAAAGAAAAGGAGACUCCAGGUCUUGUUCCAUCUCCUCCCUUUUCGGCAAUUCCCCAAAAGUAGAAAAGUUCCUCCGUUUACCAAAAUGCCCCUGGAAUGAGGACCGCUACUUGAACUCAUUUCCUGAUGACUGUCAAAUUGACACUUGUUAUGGUAUUUGCGUUCCACUCCCUGUAAUAAAUGCAAAUUGUCAAAAGUGAGUAAAAUUUGACAAUUAAUUUAAAUCGGGUCAGGUAAUAGGGGAAAUUAAUUAUAAAAUAAAUGAUAAAAUUGUAACCUAUCACUUAGAAUAACUAGAAAUAAAACAAAACAAGAAAUGAAAGAAAUAAGAGGGGUAGCAUAGACAUUUUGGAUUUUUCUGUUAAUUUGGAUGAUUUCCACCCACGGUCUAAUUUAAUCCAAAACACAAAUGGAUUAUGUGGAGGUUUUUAAACAAUGAGGGAGUAUCAUGAUCGAAUUCUAAAACACAAAGGGGAUUUACUAUAUUUUACUCUUAAAUUUUGGUUUCAUCUCAUAGCAUACAAGAGUACUAUUUCACUGUCUGUCGACAAAGAUUUUCUAUGGUUGAUGUACCAUAGGAAAAAUCUGCCUAUACCAUCAUUUGGAAAAAUUAUCAAUCCAAACAUAGCCACCAUAGCAUUUUUUCAAAAACACAAGAUGGAAAAUUGUCCCCUUAAACGUUGAAAUUCAUGAUCUUUCCUCGACCUAGUCUACUUGUCAAUUCUUGAAAAAAGAAUAGUCACGCCUAAAACACGGCCUCUUCAUCUGCAGAAUUCUAAAAAGUUAGGUAAACUCUAUAAACAAGUUGAUAGGUACAAUCGUACCCAAGAUCAAGUACAGGUAUUUGUACAUUCACUGCUGCAAUAACUAAUCUGAUGACUUACAAACACAUCAUGGUCAAUCGUUGAAUGGUAAUGAGUCUUUUGUUAUGCAUUAGUAUUAGUGUGUACACUCUAAUAGAUUGAUACUUAUACACUUUAAAUUAUCAUAAUAAUACCCUUAAUUAACUUUAACUCUUAAAAAGAAUACGUGUUAAUACACGAGAGUGUGUAAUAGAACGGCAAGCAUUAUGGUGGUCAUUGAGCAACUUAUAGGAGAAAUAGUCCUAUAAGCUGUUCAAUGACCAAUCACAACUUGCUAAUUGGAUGACUAAUAUAGCUCUAGCUGUAAUGUUUUAAUUAAAUUCCAUCACUAACGUUGGGAUGACUUUUUAACCAAAAAAAAAAGCCUUAGUUCAAGCUCUUCCCUUUAUUGUGCAUUUUUUAAAACAUUUGAUAGGCACUGCAAAUCUGUCAUUUUGGACAUUUUAUUAUUAACUAACCAUGAAAGCCGUGGACAUCAACCCAUAUCCAACAGAAUAUUAAAUUAAUAUUAGAAAAAAUUAUUAAGUAAUUGGAAAAAAAAAAGAAGAGACUAAUUUUCAUUGAAACCCACCGACAAACUAUACGUGUCCAUAGCUUUUGAUUAGUGCAUUCAACGUUUAAUUGUAUAGUCCAGUUCAUAGCCGAUUACAUGGAGUAAAGAUUGUGCUCUUUCCUUUUUCACCCCUUUUGGAAUCGAUACUGUGGAGAAUUGGGUUUUUCCCUCCUUUUUUUCUUUUCUUUCCUUCUGUGCUUUGCAAAACAUAGGUAAAAAUAUGAAAUCCGAAGCAUUCUUUAAUUGGGAUUAAGUAUUGUUCUUGAAAUUAAAAAGAAGAAAGAAAGAACAACAAAAAUCCCAAUCUGGGUUGAUUGUUGAGCUCUAGUUUGGCGGCAUCGUGCUUCCAUAGAAGUUCUCUUAGUGUGAUACGCUGCUUUCAAUCAGUUUAACACGGGAAAAAGAAAAGACAUGAAAAGCAAAUUUUGUGGGGAUAAUUUCAGAAAUCUCUCCUGAAGUUUUUUACUAUUUUACUGGCCUCCUUUCAAAUUUUAAAAAUUACACUAGUCUUCCUUGAGAUUAUUUAUCUUGUAACAUUUAGGUCCAAUCAAUAAUUAAAAGAUGAUAUUAUGAGAGAGAAAAAAAUAUGAUUUUAUCAUUGCCCCCAUCUUACUACAUUAUUGAAUUAAUUUAAUAGCAACCCACACAUUAAAGAAAAAUACUAAUAUUUGCUGUUUUUCAUUGAAGAUCAAAUCACAUGUGCCAUAAAAUAUAGUAUAUCAUUUUAUAUAUUUCACUUAAUGUAAGAUCCAAAUUAUUCUUUUCAAUUACAAAUCCAUUGUUAUUAUAAAAAAAAAAAUAAACUUUAACAUCAUAAAUAUUCUUAUCAAAAUAUUAAAGUUAGUUACUAAAAUUUUUAUGGUGUUAAAGUUCACUCUUUGUAAUAUUUAUGGGUUUGUAAUUGAAAAGAAUAAUUUGGAUCUUACAUUAAGUGAAAUAUAUAGAAUGAUAUACUAUUUUUUAUGGCAUAUGUGAUUCAAUCCUUGAUGAUAAAAAGCAAAUUCAAGUGUUUUCUUUAAUGUUUGUGCUGAUAUUAGAUUAAUUAAAUAAUUUAGUAGAUGAAAGAAAAUAGUGAAAUCAUAUUAUUUUUUCUUUCCUAAUAUCACUUUUUAAUUAUUGGUUGAACUUAGAUAUUACAAAAUAAUAAAUCUCAAGGGAGAUUAGUAUAAUUUUCAAAAUUUGGAGAGAAGCUAAUGAAAUAAUCAAAAACCUUAAGGGAGGUUUACAGAAUUAUCCCAAUUAUGUGGGAAUUAGAAUAAUUGUACUGGACGGCACUGCUGCAAUAGAGGGAAAGAGGAGAAGGUGCAGUUAACUUUUGUUGUUUGAAAUCCUUGGCGAAAUAUUACAGAAAGACAGAUAAAACGGUGGUUAGUACAUAAAUGUUUAUGACAGGGAAAAUGGUACGUCUGUUAAUCACAUUUGAAACAUUUUCAUUGGUGAAUGACCAAAAGUAUCAGGCUUGUCCAAUAGUUGAUCAUUGACCAAGAUAAAACCUGCCAUGGUAGAGCCGUAGAGGUACGAUCUUUUCGUACCUCUUAGUGCACAGGACAUUCCUUUGUUUCAUCUAGCUAAUAAUCUACCAACUCAUUUCUUCACAAAUGCACCUUUUAUGGUCACGUCUACGAAAGCCUUUACAGGAUCUUUACCCUAAAAAUCAAUUCACCGACUCCCAUUUGAUGUCAGAAAUUCUUCUACUUUACUCCAAGAUUGACUGUUAAUAAUAAUGAGACAAUGACCACUUUGAAUUAGGGGUGCGCAAAAUUAUCUGCUAAUCCGAAAAUCCGUCAUAUUCGAUCUGAUCCGAUCCAAAAAUUAGGAUAUUUGAUUUUUAUUAUUUGAUCGGAUCAAAAGAGGGUCGGGUAUCCGCUAAGAUACGGGGCGAGUUAGAGUCACAUAAUUAAAAAUUCGCGGGUAUCCGAUCCGCCCCGCAUAUAUAUAUUUUUUAUUUUUAUACACACUAUAAAAUAAUAAGUUAGAACCAAAUAAGUAAUUUUAUUGAACAAAUUGCAUUACAAAUAUGAGAGACUAUAGUUUAUUUACAAGAUUCAUUUGUAAAGGUCAUGAUCUUAUAUUUUAUAGAAAAAAGUUUAAUUAAUGUGGAACAUAUAUAUUAAAAAUUGUGCUACUUAUUUCAAACUUUUAUUGAUUUUGAUUUCUUUUAAUUUUUUUCCUUUAUCUUAUAUUCUCUUCAUAUGCUUGUUUCUUGGUGGGAAACCUUUUUUUAGAAAAAAAAAAUUAUUAAAUCUUAGAUGAAUGUGUAAAAUAUAAAAUUAAAUUAGUAUAAAUCAUUUUUUUAAAAAAAUUAAAUGAUAAACGGGACGGAACGGGUACCCGCUGAUCCGACCCUAUCUUAUCGGGUACCCGCUGAUAUGCGGGGCAGGUAAAAAUCAGAAAAUGACUGACCUGUAAGGUGCAGGUCGAAUCAAUCAAAUGGUGAAUGGGACGGGUAUACGACCCGCGCCAACACCUACUUUGAAUUAUCACACCAUCCUUCUUGAUAGGAUUGGUACUAGAGGUAGGGAGGGGAGUCGGCUGCAUCCGGUCUUCUUUUCAUAGAUGUCAUUCACGCAAUAUUAUAUUUCGAAGUCAUUGCAUGGCUAAGCUGCAAAAAAGUACGAACACUUGUUAUUAUAUAGCUUAAGAUUCAAAACGUUAGAGCAUAACCCUCCACCUAACACAAUUGAAUAAUGAAUAUUCACGAUUGUCAAAUCUGUCAAAGCACAGUUUGAGGACAACCCAUUCCAACCUGCAAAAGAUUUUUUACUUUUCUAAAGUUGUUGAGAGCUGUAAAAAGACUUACCAUGCUUACAUCUUCCGAGCCUUGGGAGUUAAAAAUGAAGGCACUGAGUGCUAUAAAAAGGGGGCUAGAGGCUGCCUAGAAGCAUAUCAGCCUAAAACAAGAAUUUGUAGUUAUGAUGGGAAGCAAAGCAAAAGCAAUGGGGUCUGGGCUGACUCCUCUUCUUACCACUCUUUUAGUGGUAUUUGUUGCUCUUGGCUUGCCCUCAGAAACUGCAGCUGAUGAUCACUACAAGUAUUCAUCUCCUCCUCCUCCUUACCACUAUCCCUCACCACCACCUCCAGAGCAUUUACCUCCACCAGUGUACAAAUACAAGUCCCCACCACCACCUCAUCAUGUUUACAAGUACAAAUCUCCACCACCCCCACCACCACACCCAGUUUACAAGUAUAAGUCGCCACCACCACCUCCUCAUCCGGUACCACACCCAGUUUACAAGUAUAAGUCACCACCACCACCUCCUCAUCCGGUACCACACCCAGUUUACAAGUAUAAGUCACCACCACCACCUCCUCAUCCGGUAUACAAGUAUAAGUCUCCUCCGCCACACCACACCCAGUUUACAAGUAUAAGUCACCACCACCACCUCCUCAUCCGGUACCACACCCAGUUUACAAGUAUAAGUCACCACCACCACCUCCUCAUCCGGUAUACAAGUAUAAGUCUCCUCCGCCACCACCACACCCAGUUUACAAGUAUAAGUCACCACCACCACCUCCUCAUCCGGUACCACACCCAGUUUACAAGUACAAGUCACCACCACCUCCUCCCCCAGUUUACAAAUACAAGUCUCCACCACCACCAGUUUACCACUACAAGUCACCACCACCUCCUCCCCCAGUUUACAAAUACAAGUCUCCACCACCUCCUCACCACUACUAAGCAAUUGCUUCUGAGGUAAUAACAC
rnacentral:lncRNA from 1 species